CUGUUGUCAUGUCCCAUUCGAAUUGAUUUCCAAAUACGUCAUCAACGUGUGACAGUGGGAGAGCGCAAGGUCAUUGACCUCACCGGAGUUUUACCGCGGUCCAGGCUCCUAACAACACAAGCAAAUGGACAAGCUGAAAGCCUACGAGCAGCUGAAAAAAGACCUUGAAAAUGGUGAGAUUACCCAAAAAGGCUUUGAUAACAACGUAAAAAAGCUCCUGACAGCAGAAAAAUCAGAUGACACUCCUUCAACAAGUGGCAAUGAAUUUCUCAGUGCAGCAGAGGCCUUUGGUAAAGCCAAGAAACUACUACAGCCUCAAGUAAAGAAAAGGCAAUUUCCAUUGAAUGAUAAACGUUUGGACCAUGGCAAAUCAUUAUUGAAGGUCAGAAUGGCUCCCAUGGAGUGGAAACCAAGAACUCUUAGAAAGUGUGGACGGUACCAGAAGUUAAUAAUGGACGAAGCUCCACCUCGAAUCAUCCUGCAAGGCCAUGAAACCUAUGAUGAUUUAAUUACCAUAGCCAAAGAACGAUUCUGGCCAGAGCGUACUGAGGGGAGUGAGUUCACUCUUUGCCAUUCUGACGGGACCAGGUGGAGUAAGGAGGAUUUCCACAAAGAAUACAGAACUGUUUCUGAUAUUACACAUCUGUGGAAAAGAACACUAUACAUCGGGCGAAGACAACUGGAGGUCGUGUGUUUGGAUGAUCAAAGUUCCAUCUCAGAUGAAGACCCUGUAACUGAAGUGGGUGGUGAUGAAAGUUGCAGUUUAGAUGAACUUCCUGAAACCCUCAUAGGACAAAAUGUUGCAGAACAGGAUUUCCAUCCAGAAACAUCCAGCUCAGGUGAAUUUGAAACAGGGAGAGUCAGAAAGAAAAGCCAGUCCAAGCAAAGGAAGGAGGAAAAUGUAGGGUCAUCUCUAGGUCCAGGUGGAGCAGUGAGCCAAGACAUGUUACCACAUGCAGUUAUUGAGGCAAAAGAAGCUAUGGAGGGAGCUGAAGAGCUAUCUGAAGGUGCUGGAAAUAGUGGGCUUUUGAUAGAUUUUGCAGAGUCUUUCAACACAACUCCAAAAUCGCCAUCAUUGUAUCUUCCACGUGUUCCAUAUGUGGAAGAGGCUUUAAUUACAUACAGCGAGGACAAUCUACUGGGAGAAGGGACAUUUGGCAAGGUAUAUAGAGGUUCUUUUCAUGGUACUCCAGCAGCUGUUAAAAGGAUCAUGUGUGGCCAACAAGGGAUGGAGGACAGCGACAUUCAUCAUGAGAUAAAUGUUUCACUGAGACUGUCUCACCCCAACAUCGUCAGACUCAUGGCAGUUGCCCGCACUCAGUCCUGCUUUUUGUUGGCAGCUGAAUACAUUCAUGGCGCAACCCUGCAGCAAGUGCUUCACACAGAGACAGCUGCUUGGUGAAGCUUGAAGGGGAUGAUGCCGGUUUCAUAUCACUGGACUUAUCCAUGGCAGUAGAGUACAUCCAUGCACAUCAUUCACCAGGAUAUAAAGCCAGCAAAUGUCAUGGUUCACCACCCUUCUAAGAAGGCAGUCCUGACAGACUGGGGCAUGGCAAACAUAAGAGACACUGUGAUGCUUCGUCAAGGGAGUAAGUUCACUGCCCAGGCUAUUGGUCCAGCUGGUGGCACAUAUCUUUACAUGGCUCCUGAAUGCAUACUGAUGUUUGAAGAGGCCUCGUUCCAGACAGACAUGUGGUCCCUCGGAGCCACGUAUCUGGAGAUCCUGACGUGGUCCGCUCCGUGGAUUGUUAAAAAACAAAGAACUGGCUGCACUAAUGGCCACCAAAACCCCACCACAUGCCCUAUCACAUCUCAGUGACAAACACAGUUUUCUUGGUGGUUUGGUGAGCUAUGACCCAGACUCAAGGCCUUCCGCAUCUGAUGUUGUUAAGUUUCUCAAGUCAGGCCUCGAUCUUACAAGCCGAUAUGGCUACAAGUGGUAAUGUUGCUACAGUCUGCAGUUCAAAAGUCUUUCAAUGUUAAUUAUGUUAUACAUUAGGGUUAACAAAAGUUGUGGUAAAUGAAACACUGAAUCAUUAUGAAAGAUGGCACCUUGUCAAUUGUUUUUCAACAUUUUAUUGUACAUUUUGUUGGUCAGACAGUUUUCAAAUUACCUGUUGAUUGUAAACAAGGAUAAAUAAAUGUUAACAAACAA